rnacentral:rRNA from 1 species
AUGGAGUUAAUCGAGAUGCUUCAAUUGGAGGAGUGGGUGUGGGAUGAGAAAGUGCAAGCCUUUCCUGUGUUGGAGGUGCUUUUCCUACAAAAGUGCAAACUGAGGCUUGUUCCUCCUGACCUUGCCUCCAAUUCAUGGGCUUUGAAAAAACUGUUUAUAUCUUUCGUACAGCAAGUCAAAUUUCUGGAGAACUUUGCUUCCGUUACUGAGCUUGAAGUGUCUUACAGCCCUGACCUGGAGAGGAUCACUAAUCUCCCAAAUCUUCAGAAGCUUACCAUCGUCAAGUGCCCAAAGCUGAAUGUGUUAGAGGGUGUUCCUGCACUGCAGAUUCUGAUGCUAGAGGAUUACGCCAUGGAAGAACUUCCGGAAUACAUGCGAGGUAUAAAGCCAAGACACUUGCAGGUAGACUGUAAUCUAUGGCUGCUCGCGUCAGUAGCUGCGGGACAAUCUGGCACUGAGUGGGACAAGUUUAGCCAUGUCGAACAUGUCAAGGCAUAUGCACACGAUGGAGUCAAUUUAAGAGAAUUGUACGUGUUGUACACACGGGAUCCCUGCAGCUUGGAGACAAACAUCAACCACCCAUUUGUAUCUGCAGGAACGUUAUCCUCUUCUAUGGUGGACGCACAAGGAUUUGAGUCUGUAUUCAAGAUGAGAAGAAGUACCUUCAACUUUGUCUGCGGCUUGGUGUAUGCAUCUUUAGAAGAUAUGAGCAGCUGCACCUUUGCUGAUGGCAGGGUGCUGUCGUUACAAGAUCGAGUAGCCCUUGCUAUGUUAGUGCUGAACUCUGGUGAGCCUCUGGAGACCAUAGGAUCCUCCGUUGGUGUGAACGAGUCUACCGUCUCGCUGGUAACUGAUAGCUUUGUUGAUGCUGUGGUGGCGAAAGAAAGAAAGCACUUGCGCUGGCCAUACCCCGAUGAAAUGAAGAAGACCAAAUCCAAGUUUCAUAAGAUCCAUGGUGUGUCAAACUGCUGCGGUGUUGUACAUACAGUUCACAUCACACCGCAAGAAGAUGAGACAGGUUACAGCCUUGUACUGCAAGCCGUCGUUGACCAAGAUUUGAGGUUCAUCCGUGGUGCAUGGCAAUGGUCAGUUAGCAUGAUCCAGCCGGGUAUUUUUCUGCAUGACUCUGAACUCUUCCAGGAUUGCGAGAAGGGUGAGUUGCUGAAUGGAAACAAGCUCAACGUGUCUUUAGAUGGAUCGGCUGUUGGGGAAUAUGUAAUUGGUGAUGCAGGGUACCCUCUUCUCCCCCGGCUCCUGACAGCUUAUAACCAGCUGGAAAAUGAGGACCUCCCAAACUUUCCUGAUCAAGCCGAGUUCAAUAGGAGACACUCUGCAGCCCGAACCGUCACACGAAGGCGACGGCAAGGUUUCAAGACACAUAUAAGUGGUUGCACAGAGGGACGUGGUACCCGAAAAAUCUAG